rfam:Nomascus leucogenys chromosome 3, whole genome shotgun sequence.
GGUAUAGUGGUUAAGAACUUAGGCUUAAAGCCUGCUAUCUGGGUUUGAAUCCCAGCUUUAUCA